rnacentral:rRNA from 1 species
AUUGAACGCUGGCGGCAGGCUUAACACAUGCAAGUCGAGCGGAGAGAGGUAGCUUGCUACUGAUCUUAGCGGCGGACGGGUGAGUAAUGCUUAGGAAUCUGCCUAUUAGUGGGGGACAACAUUUCGAAAGGAAUGCUAAUACCGCAUACGUCCUACGGGAGAAAGCAGGGGAUCUUCGGACCUUGCGCUAAUAGAUGAGCCUAAGUCGGAUUAGCUAGUUGGUGGGGUAAAGGCCUACCAAGGCGACGAUCUGUAGCGGGUCUGAGAGGAUGAUCCGCCACACUGGGACUGAGACACGGCCCAGACUCCGACGGGAGGCAGCAGUGGGGAAUAUUGGACAAUGGGCGCAAGCCUGAUCCAGCCAUGCCGCGUGUGUGAAGAAGGCCUUAUGGUUGUAAAGCACUUUAAACGAGGAGGAGGCUACUUUAGAUAAUACCUAGAGAUAGUGGACGUUACUCGCAGAAUAAGCACCGGCUAACUCUGUGCCAGCCGCCGCGGUAAUAC